GUGUGGUUUUCGAUAGCCAGAUGGUUGUUCAGCGGCCAGGUUGGCUCAAUCCCAGAUAAGGGUCAGGUGUUGGGGCGCUGUGGGUAUUCCGCCCGUUGUCCGGUUGAGGUGUUGGGUGUUGGGUCCCAGGUGACAUCUUGAUUGUCGUCUGUGGUAGGCGGUUGACUCGGCUGCAAUCCCAUUGCGGACAGGAAGGCUGGGGCUCCCAUGGGGGAGGUAAGGUUGUGGGUGGUCCCAGCAUGAUGGACAAUUAAGGAGCCGGUGUUCCCCC